rnacentral:misc_RNA from 1 species
GAGCGUGGCGUCGACCUCGGCGUCGAUCCGGCCGAUAGAAGUCCUGCGGGCCUCGUUAAUCUUUGGCUCAAAACAUUCUCUUUCCCUUCAGGCACUAAAACGUAUUUAAACAAAAUGACUUACAAACAGGCAGCUUUUCAUAUUUCUGACACGUAUUUCAAGAACAUACAGUGGUAAUUGAAUAACACUUAAACCGAAGGUUUCACGUAUUUGUAUCACUUGACGUUUCCAUAUUGCCUUAUUAAACGAUCGUGAAUUAAACACGAAAUUACCAUCCACUAUUAGGCAGGCUGACGUGAAUGCUUUUCCAAGGUCGUUAUAUGCCACGCAUGUGUAUUCGCCCUCGUCUUCCGGAUAAACAUGUUGGAUGCACAGACGCGCGGUUUCUCCAUCAAAGUCAGCGGAGAAAUCGCCACCCAUUUGUAGAAUCUGAAUGUGCAUAUUACAAGCAAUAUUAGUUCAUACAGUAUAAUGGGAUAUUAACACAUAUAUAAUACAAUAUCUCAUAUGCGCUACAUAAUUCUAACACAGGGAAUAACAAUAUAUGGAAUAUAUAGAAUAUUUCUAAAUUCGUAUAGAAUGAAAUAAUGAUACAUAGAAUAUCUCUAAUUUCGUAUAUGUAUAAUGGCAUAAUGUGGUAUACGGAAUGUUAUUAUUAGACUGCAAAUGUUUAUGCAAUUAUGGGAAAUUCAAAUAUACAAAAAUGUACAGAAU